rnacentral:other from 1 species
CCCAAGGUCACUGGGGAGUAGCCGUCCGCGCGUUUCAGCGGAGGGUGCGUCAACAAACUUGGUCCGGAAUGUCUUCCAGACCAUGGCGCAUCCAGCCCGAUGGGCCUGGCGAGACCUUUGGUUUUCACGUGUCGAUUCGAGCGGGAUCGUCGGCGUGAGAUGCCAUUGGUCCUGUUUUGAUCCCGCCGU